CCUUAGGCUAGUAAAACCAAUCAGUAGUUAGUUAGAUUAACGAAGUUAUUGAAAUUAUAAUAAUAAAAGGUAAAAUUGAAUUAUUAUUUUGUAAAAAAACAGAAACAAGAAUUGAAGCUAAAAUAACUUAGAUAUAAACUAGGAUUAGAUACCCUACUAUUCUAAGUUAAAAGGAUAAUACUAUUGAUUAGUACUAGAUAUAUACUUAAAAAUUAAAAGAUUUGGCGGUAACUUAAUCUUUUCAGAGGAACUUGUUUUUUAAUCGAUAAUCCACGAAUAAUCUUACUCGUUUUUGUGAAUUUAAAACUCAGUUUGUAUACCAUCAUUAUCAGAUAGUUUUUAGAGAAAUUUAUUUAAGGGAGUGAGUUUAAAAAAAUUAGAUCAAGGUGCAGCCGAUAAACGAGGUAAAUGAGUUACAAUAAAUUGUUUUAUAUGGAAUAUUAAAAGAAUUGUUAAUAUGAAGGAGGAUUUGAUUGUAUAAUAGUUUAACAGUUAUUAUGACAUUAGCUCUAAGUUAUGUACAUAUCGCCCGUCGCUUUCGUUUAUAGACGAAAUAAGUCGUAACAUA
rnacentral:rRNA from 1 species